rnacentral:misc_RNA from 1 species
GGAGACACAGAGGGAGAUUACUACAGUUUGGAGGAAGUUUGUCUUGGAACGGAAGAAGAUGAACGGUGUUUGUUAGAGGGGAAUAGCAAAACGUCCGGUCGUUUAAUAUAUUAUUAUUUAUUAUAAGAGUGUUUUGGUAAAAUUUGGUCAUGAAUGAUUUAUGGGGUACGGCUACCUACCUUAAACUUUUAUUGUUCUUAUUUUCUAAUAUACGAAGAAAAAAGUUAUAUUAUAAAGCAAUAUGUCUAGUCGUCUAUAUAUUAUCAUUUAUUAAAAUAGUGUUUUGGUAUUUGCUUUUGUGCGUAUG